GUCAGGAUGUCAGAGUAGUCUAAGGUGCCAGAUUCAAGAAUAGUCUUCUUAACUUCUUAGACCAAUGAGUAUUCUGGAUCACAGGGAAUGGGUUCAAAUCCCACUUCUGACA
rnacentral:tRNA from 1 species